GAUGAACGCUAGCGGCAGGCCUAAUACAUGCAAGUCGAGGGGUAAGGUCAAGCUUGCUUGAUACACGACCGGCGCACGGGUGCGUAACGCGUAUGCAACCCACCUUGUACUGAGGGAUAGCCCGGAGAAAUCCGGAUUAAUACCUCAUGGUAUCAAAAAAAACUCAUGUUUUAUUGAUUAAAGAUUUAUCGGUACAAGAUGGGCAUGCGUGACAUUAGUUAGUUGGUGAGGUAACUGCUCACCAAGACUUCGAUGUCUAGGGGGUCUGAGAGGAUGAUCCCCCACACUGGUACUGAGAUACGGACCAG
rnacentral:rRNA from 1 species